CCAGGAAUUCUAGUGGUUAGGAUUCCUGGCUUUCAUCCAGAUGGCCUAGGUUCGAUUCCUGGCAUGG
rnacentral:tRNA from 1 species